UACGUAGGGGGCAAGCGUUAUCCGGAUUUACUGGGUGUAAAGGGAGCGUAGACGGCUUUGCAAGCCAGAUGUGAAAGCCCGGGGCUCAACCCCGGGACUGCAUUUGGAACUGUGUGGCUAGAGUGUCGGAGAGGCAGGCGGAAUUCCUAGUGUAGCGGUGAAAUGCGUAGAUAUUAGAGGAACACCAGUGGCGAAGGCGGCCUGCUGGACGAUGACUGACGUUGAGGCUCGAAAGCGUGGGGAGCAAACAGG
rnacentral:rRNA from 1 species